rnacentral:rRNA from 1 species
GGUUAAGCGACUAAGCGUACACGGUGGAUGCCCUGGCAGUCAGAGGCGAUGAAGGACGUGCUAAUCUGCGAUAAGCGUCGGUAAGGUGAUAUGAACCGUUAUAACCGGCGAUUUCCGAAUGGGGAAACCCAGUGUGUUUCGACACACUAUCAUUAACUGAAUCCAUAGGUUAAUGAGGCGAACCGGGGGAACUGAAACAUCUAAGUACCCCGAGGAAAAGAAAUCAACCGAGAUUCCCCCAGUAGCGGCGAGCGAACGGGGAGCAGCCCAGAGCCUGAAUCAGUGUGUGUGUUAGUGGAAGCGUCUGGAAAGGCGCGCGAUACAGGGUGACAGCCCCGUACACAAAAAUGCACAUACUGUGAGCUCGAUGAGUAGGGCGGGACACGUGGUAUCCUGUCUGAAUAUGGGGGGACCAUCCUCCAAGGCUAAAUACUCCUGACUGACCGAUAGUGAACCAGUACCGUGAGGGAAAGGCGAAAAGAACCCCGGCGAGGGGAGUGAAAAAGAACCUGAAACCGUGUACGUACAAGCAGUGGGAGCACGCUUAGGCGUGUGACUGCGUACCUUUUGUAUAAUGGGUCAGCGACUUAUAUUCUGUAGCAAGGUUAACCGAAUAGGGGAGCCGAAGGGAAACCGAGUCUUAACUGGGCGUUAAGUUGCAGGGUAUAGACCCGAAACCCGGUGAUCUAGCCAUGGGCAGGUUGAAGGUUGGGUAACACUAACUGGAGGACCGAACCGACUAAUGUUGAAAAAUUAGCGGAUGACUUGUGGCUGGGGGUGAAAGGCCAAUCAAACCGGGAGAUAGCUGGUUCUCCCCGAAAGCUAUUUAGGUAGCGCCUCGUGAAUUCAUCUCCGGGGGUAGAGCACUGUUUCGGCAAGGGGGUCAUCCCGACUUACCAACCCGAUGCAAACUGCGAAUACCGGAGAAUGUUAUCACGGGAGACACACGGCGGGUGCUAACGUCCGUCGUGAAGAGGGAAACAACCCAGACCGCCAGCUAAGGUCCCAAAGUCAUGGUUAAGUGGGAAACGAUGUGGGAAGGCCCAGACAGCCAGGAUGUUGGCUUAGAAGCAGCCAUCAUUUAAAGAAAGCGUAAUAGCUCACUGGUCGAGUCGGCCUGCGCGGAAGAUGUAACGGGGCUAAACCAUGCACCGAAGCUGCGGCAGCGACGCUUAUGCGUUGUUGGGUAGGGGAGCGUUCUGUAAGCCUGCGAAGGUGUGCUGUGAGGCAUGCUGGAGGUAUCAGAAGUGCGAAUGCUGACAUAAGUAACGAUAAAGCGGGUGAAAAGCCCGCUCGCCGGAAGACCAAGGGUUCCUGUCCAACGUUAAUCGGGGCAGGGUGAGUCGACCCCUAAGGCGAGGCCGAAAGGCGUAGUCGAUGGGAAACAGGUUAAUAUUCCUGUACUUGGUGUUACUGCGAAGGGGGGACGGAGAAGGCUAUGUUGGCCGGGCGACGGUUGUCCCGGUUUAAGCGUGUAGGCUGGUUUUCCAGGCAAAUCCGGAAAAUCAAGGCUGAGGCGUGAUGACGAGGCACUACGGUGCUGAAGCAACAAAUGCCCUGCUUCCAGGAAAAGCCUCUAAGCAUCAGGUAACAUCAAAUCGUACCCCAAACCGACACAGGUGGUCAGGUAGAGAAUACCAAGGCGCUUGAGAGAACUCGGGUGAAGGAACUAGGCAAAAUGGUGCCGUAACUUCGGGAGAAGGCACGCUGAUAUGUAGGUGAAGUCCCUCGCGGAUGGAGCUGAAAUCAGUCGAAGAUACCAGCUGGCUGCAACUGUUUAUUAAAAACACAGCACUGUGCAAACACGAAAGUGGACGUAUACGGUGUGACGCCUGCCCGGUGCCGGAAGGUUAAUUGAUGGGGUCAGCGCAAGCGAAGCUCUUGAUCGAAGCCCCGGUAAACGGCGGCCGUAACUAUAACGGUCCUAAGGUAGCGAAAUUCCUUGUCGGGUAAGUUCCGACCUGCACGAAUGGCGUAAUGAUGGCCAGGCUGUCUCCACCCGAGACUCAGUGAAAUUGAACUCGCUGUGAAGAUGCAGUGUACCCGCGGCAAGACGGAAAGACCCCGUGAACCUUUACUAUAGCUUGACACUGAACAUUGAGCCUUGAUGUGUAGGAUAGGUGGGAGGCUUUGAAGUGUGGACGCCAGUCUGCAUGGAGCCG